rnacentral:rRNA from 1 species
GCGCAGCAGGCGAGAAACCUUCGCAAUGCGCGAAAGCGCGACGAGGGGACUCCGAGUGCCUAUGCUCAGCAUAGGCUGUUCACCGGUGUAAAAGCCGGUGGAGGAAGGGGUGGACAAGACUGGUGCCAGCCGCCGCGGUAAUACCAGCGCCCCAAGUGGUGACCGAUAUUAUUGGGUCUAAAACGUCCGUAGCCGGCCCGGUAAAUCUCCGGGUAAAUCGUCCAGCUUAACUGGUCGAAUUCUGGGGAGACUGCCGGGCUUGGGACCGGGAGAGGUCGGAGGUACUCCAGGGGUAGGGGUGAAAUCCUGUAAUCCCUGGGGGACCACCGGUGGCGAAGGCGUCCGACUAGAACGGGUCCGACGGUAAGGGACGAAGGCUAGGGGAGCAAACGGGAUUAGAUACCCGGGUAGU